GACGAACGCUGGCGGCGUGCCUAAUACAUGCAAGUCGAGCGAAGUUUUUCUGGUGCUUGCACUAGAAAAACUUAGCGGCGAACGGGUGAGUAACACGUAAAGAACCUGCCUCAUAGACUGGGACAACUAUUGGAAACGAUAGCUAAUACCGGAUAACAGUAUUUCUCGCAAGAGAGAUAUUUAAAAGUUGGUUAUGCUAACACUAUGAGAUGGCUUUGCGGUGCAUUAGCUAGUUGGUGGGGUAAAGGCCCACCAAGGCGACGAUGCAUAGCCGACCUGAGAGGGUGAUCGGCCACACUGGGACUGAGACACGGCCCAGACUCCUACGGGAGGCAGCAGUAGGGAAUCUUCCGCAAUGGGCGAAAGCCUGACGGAGCAACGCCGCGUGAGUGAAGAAGGAUUUCGGUUCGUAAAGCUCUGUUGUUAGGGAAGAAUGGAUAUGUAGUAACUCUACAUGUAAGAGACGGUACCUAACCAGAAAGCCACGGCUAACUACGUG
rnacentral:rRNA from 1 species